UAUACAUACUAUACUUAUACAUGCUUGUGUGAAGGCAAUAUUGAAUGUUGUGGCUACUGUGCUACCUAAGGCAGAGCAUAAGCACUGUGCAGGACAUGUUUUUGCACCUUGGCACAAAAGUUAUAGGGGAGAUGAAAUGAAACUUCAAUUUUGGAAGAUAGCCAAAGCAUAUAACAUGACAGAUUCUAAUGAUGCACUUAAUGAGUUAAGUUAUUUGAGUGCUGAUGUUGCUUUGGCUUUUAAAGCAUAUAACCCAAAAUGCUUUUGUAGAGCCUUCAUGGAUCCCACCAUUAAAUCAGAUGCCAUCCCCAAUAACAUGGCAGAAACAUUUAAUGGAUAUAUAAUCAAUGCUAGGACCAAGCAUUUGAUUUAUAUGAUGGAAGACAUUAGGGUGGAAUUAAUGCAAAGGCUUGUAACCAAAAGACAAGAAAUGGAGAGGCAAACCUCAGAAAUAUGCCCUAGGAUUCAAGCAAUCAUAGCAAAAGAAAAAACCAAGGCUGCCUACUAUGAUGUGAUUCCCUCAUCUAAAAAUAUAUUCAAUGUCAAACAUAACCUAGACCAGCUUAAUGUUGACUUAGGUGCUAAGAGUUGCACCUUUAGGAAGUGGGAUCUGCUAGGGGUGCCUUGUUGCCUUGCUAUAGCUUGUAUAUACUUCCAGAACAGAGAGGAAGAAUCAUUUGUUGAUGAGUUUUACAAGAAACAUUCCUAUUUGAAGGCAUAUGCAGGGGCCAUACCUCCAUGAGGGAGAGAGACACUAGCCAAGAGUGGAGUGCAACUUAGAUCCUCCCCCAAUCAAAAUAGGCCCUAGUAGGCAAAGAAAGAACAGGAUCAGAGAUCCCUUUGAGAAUCCAAAAAAAACCAAGGACUAGGCAUGGGAUGGAUAUGACAUGUAGAUUAAACAUGCAAAAGGGCCAUAACAAAAGGGGGUGUCCACAAAAAGACAUUGUUGUUCCUCCAGAACCUCAGCCUAAAAAAGCAAGAGGGAGGCAUGGGAAAGACUCUGCCCCACUACCAAUGAUUCACCAUUCAACAACAGCACAUCUAACUCAGCUUGGCAGAGGUGGGAGAAUGAUUUCGGGUGGCAAGGGAGCAAGAGGAAGAGGCACUGGAAGAGGGAAAAAAUCUAGAGGUAGGGGAUUGAGAGGAGGUUCAACAAGAGCUGGACAUGCAAGAGGAGAUGGUACAAGAAAGGGUGGGUCAGUUGGUGACACUGUUGUUUCAAGAGGAAGAGGAAAUUCAAGUAGAGGAAGGGGUAGAGGCAGGGGAAGAAAUCAGGUGCCUGUUGGAGUUGGUGUAUAUUUUGGCCAAGAUGGAACACCAAUUUCCAGUGGAUCUACCUAGUGGUCAUGGUGGUCCAAGAAAUCUCACCCUAGUGCCAAAUGUGGGAUCCCAAUCAAGUCAAGCAUCAUCAGUAUUACAUCUAACUCAGUAGGAAGCAUGAAGUACCUAUUUUUUGUCAGAAGUAGCAGUGUUCAAUUGGAUUAGUUUUUAACUUGUAACUUGGUAGUACUCUAUUAGAGAGAUACAUGGAUCAAUUUUUGAUAGUGAUCAAUUAUGAUUACUUUUUGUAUGUCAUCAUUAUAUUACAUCAUGUUUUAGGGUUUAUUGAGUAAUGUAAGUAGAUGAAACUUGAUGUUGGAAACACUAAUCUGUAAUGGGAUUACAUUUUGUGCCUAUUAUUACAGCAACUUUGUUGUCAUCACA